UACGGAGGGUGCGAGCGUUGUCCGGAAUCAUUGGGCGUAAAGCGCGCGUAGGUGGCCCCAUAAGUCCGCUGUGAAAGUCAAAGGCUCAACCUUUGAAAGCCGGUGGAUACUGUGGGACUAGAGUACGGAAGAGGCGAGUGGAAUUCCUGGUGUAGCGGUGGAAUGCGCAGAUAUCAGGAGGAACACCAAUAGCGAAGGCAGCUCGCUGGGACGUUACUGACACUGAGGCGCGAAAGCGUGGGGAGCGAACAGG
rnacentral:rRNA from 1 species